rnacentral:rRNA from 1 species
CUUGCAAUCAGUUUUUUCUUGAUUUACACAUGCAAGUAUCCGCACCCCUGUGAAAACGCCCUUAAAUUCCUCCUAGGGAUAAGGAGCUGGUAUCAGGCACAUCUUACUGCCCAAGACACCUAGCUACGCCACACCCACAAGGGACUUCAGCAGUGAUUAACUUUGAUUAUCAGCGACAGCUUGAUUCAGUUAAAGAAAACAGAGCCGGCUAAUCUGGUGCCAGCCGCCGCGGUUACACCACGUGGCUCAAAUUGACUUCUGUCGGCGUAAAGAGUGAUUUAAGAACCCCAAAAAUUGGCGUCAAAUUUUAACUAAGCUGUGACACGCUUGUCCCUUAGAAGCACUAAGACGAAAGUUACACCAACUAAACCAACUUGA